ensembl:snoRNA LOC120101356 small nucleolar RNA SNORA17
GUUGUUCCUAGCACUGUGGGUGUGGCUUCUGUGUCACAAGUAUGUCAGUAGGUGGCAGAGAGGAGGGUGGUAGAGCUGGCCCUGGGGUCAUGAUAGUAGGAGAGCUAUCAACUCACC